UACAGACUCUAGCAAAGCCCAUUUAACAGUUACCACAUUCCACAAAUUCCUGAUGUAUGAAUCGCAACAAUUAUCUUUUUUUGUUUCUAAUAGAAAGCAGAUAUCAACAUUACUGUUGAGCAACCUAUUCCGGAUGGAAUGGCGUUUGUUCAACAUACCCAACCCACAACUAUUCCAAGCAAAAAUAUUCAUAGGUAGAUCAAAACCAUGACAGAACAAAACUUAGCAAGUUAAGAAACUUACAACUGAUUGACUGAUUUCCACUCGUCUACUUCUCUGUCAAUGUUCCCC
rnacentral:lncRNA from 1 species